AGUGAGAAUGUUGGCAUGAGUAGCGAGAUGUGGGUGAGAAUCCCACAGGCCGUAAACCCAAGGUUUCCAGGGGAAGGUUCGUCCGCCCUGGGUUAGUCAGGACCUAAGCCGAGGCCGAAAGGCGUAGGUGAUGGACAACAGGUUGAUAUUCCUGUACCACCAAUAACCGUUUGAGAAAUGGGAUGACACAGUAGGAUAAGCUAACCGCACUGUUGGUUAUGUGCGGGCAAGUAUUGAGGCAGUUCCGAUAGGCAAAUCCGUCGGAAUAAUGCUGGGGUACGAUGCGGAGCGAAAUUUAGUAGCGAAGUAGCUGAUUUCACACUGUCGAGAAAAGUCUCUAUCGAGGUUAAAGGUGCCUGUACCGCAAACCGACACAGGUGGGUGAGGAGAGUAUCCUAAGGCCAGCGAGAGAACUGUUGUUAAGGAACUCGGCAAAAUGACCCCGUAACUUAGGGAGAAGGGGUGCCUUCGAAAGAAGGCCGCAGAGAAUAGGCCCAAGCGACUGUUUACCAAAAACAUAGGUUUCUGCUAAGUCGCAAGACGAUGUAUAGGAGCUGACGCCUGCCCGGUGCUGGAAGGUUAAGGGGAUCUGUUAGAGCAAUCGAAGCAGUGAACUUAAGCCCCAGUAAACGGCGGCCGUAACUAUAACGGUCCUAAGGUAGCGAAAUUCCUUGUCGGGUAAGUUCCGACCCGCACGAAAGGCGUAACGAUUUGGGCACUGUCUCAACAACAGACUCGGUGAAAUUGUAAUACCGGUGAAGAUGCCGGUUACCUGCGACAGGACGGAAAGACCCCAUGGAGCUUUACUGUAGCUUGACAUUGAGUCUCGGUGCUACAUGUACAGGAUAGGUGGGAGACUAUGAAGCAUGGACGUCAGUCUGUGUGGAGUCAUCCUUGGGAUACCACCCUUGUAGUACUGGGAUUCUAACCAGAGGCCAUGAAUCUGGUCUUGGGACACUGUCAGGUGGACAGUUUGACUGGGGCGGUCGCCUCCCAAAAAGUAACGGAGGCGCUCAAAGGUUCUCUCAGUACGGUCGGAAAUCGUACGAAGAGUGUAAAGGCAAAAGAGAGCUUGAUUGCAAGACAUACAGGUCGAGCAAGGACGAAAGUCGGACUUAGUGAUCCGGUGGUUCCGCAUGGAAGGGCCAUCGCUCAACGGAUAAAAGCUACCCUGGGGAUAACAGGCUGAUCUCCCCCAAGAGUCCACAUCGACGGGGAGGUUUGGCACCUCGAUGUCGGCUCAUCACAUCCUGGGGCUGUAGUAGGUCCCAAGGGUUGGGCUGUUCGCCCAUUAAAGUGGUACGCGAGCUGGGUUCAGAACGUCGUGAGACAGUUCGGUCCCUAUCCGUCGCAGGCGUAGGAAAUUUGAGGAGACCUGUCCUUAGUACGAGAGGACCGGGAUGGACGUACCGCUGGUGUACCAGUUGUUCUGCCAAGGGCAUGGCUGGGUAGCUAAGUACGGAAAGGAUAAGCGCUGAAAGCAUCUAAGCGCGAAGCCCACUUCAAGAUAAGAUUUCCCACCGCAAGGUUAAGAUCCCAGGAAGACUACCUGGUUGAUAGGUCAGAGGUGUAAGUGCAGUAAUGUAUUUAGCUUACUGAUACUAAUAGAUCGAGGACUUGACCAA
rnacentral:rRNA from 1 species